rnacentral:misc_RNA from 1 species
AAGUCGUAACAAGGUCUCCGUAGGUGAACCUGCGGAGGGAUCAUUAACACGUUUAUACACGUAUCAACCAAACGCGAUAUAGGGAUGGACAAAUAGCUUAGGCUUUUUGCACGUCUCAAUCUCCCUAAGAAGAGAGUACUGUCAGAGUUCAAUAUUGGAAUGACAUGAGAAGAAAAUUCUAUAUAUUAUAUACUCGUUAUAUAUAUAUCUAAUCCUAUUCUCAUCUGAAAUCUGACUAGAGGUUCGACCUCACCUGUAUCUUUUCUUAGGCUAAAAUUCCUUUGUCAUUCUAUCCCAACCUAUCUCACCCCUUCUAUAUCCAAUGACUGAUCCCAAUAAGAAUAAUUUCUAUGAGAUUAAUUUUAUUGUUGAUAUUCUAUAACUAAAAGCACAACUCUUAGCAACGGAUAUCUUGGUUCUC